rnacentral:lncRNA from 1 species
UCCUUCACCAUAGGAUUGGACCACUUUAUAGAACCUACAAAUUGAUUUGUUGUGAUAUCAAGAGAUGUGAGACAACUAUCCUACAGAGACCAAAUGAUGUUAAUGUAAAAUAGGUUACUGUAUGGGCUUCAACAAUGAGAAAAUCCACUAACAUUAAAAUUUUGCAAUAUUCUGAUUUAGAAUGACUUGUUUAUACCUCCAAACUUUAACAUCUGAUAUUUUUAUUAUCUAGAGCUUUGUAAAAAAAAAAAGAAAAAAAAAUAUAAAAAAGAAAAUACCAAAAAAUAAUAUGAAAGCAAAAUAGAAAACAUAGUUCUAGAUAAUAAACAUUGAGGGUGGGAUAAUUUUGAUAUUUUUAUGACCCCCACCUUUAAGUCUUCUAAAGUUCUCAUAUUUAAAACAAAAAAAAUUGGAAUGGCAGUUUAAAAAGUAUAGGUCCUUUCUGUAGGGACAGUGCAACUCUGCAUGUUAAAGAACCCUUGUCACAACUCUUUUGAGGUGUCAGUAGGACGUGGCUUGUUGCAUUAGGCCAAAUUUCUGUCCAACAAUUUCCUCCUCGGUUGGCAGUCAAAAUUUCCCCUACCUUCACCAUUGGCCCACUUUAUAGAACCUACAAAUUGAUUUGUUAUGAUAUCAAAGAGAUGUGAGACAACUAUCCUACAGAGACCAAAUGAUGUUAAUGUAAAAUAGGUUACUGUAUGGGCUUCAACAAUGAGAAAAUCCACUAACAUUAAAAUUUUGCAAUAUUCUGAUUGAGAAUGACUUUUUUAUACCUCCAACCUUUAACAUCUGAUAUUUUUAUUAUCUAGAGCUCUGUAAAAAAAAAUUGAAAAAAAAAUAGAAAAAAGGAUAUACCAAAAAAUAAUAUGAAAACAAAAUUUGUAAACAGAGUUCUAGAAAAUAAACAUUGAGGGUGGUGCAAAUGUUGAGAUUAUUUUAAUAAUUUUAUGACCCCUGCCUGUAAGUUUUCUAAAAUUAUCAUGUUUAAAACAAACAAAAAUUGGAAUGGCAAUUUAUAAAGUAUAGUUCCUAUCUGUAAGGACAGUACCACUCUGCAUAUAAAAGAACCCUUAAGCCACAACUCUUUUGAGGGUCAGUAGGUGGGCUAAUGCAAGGCUAAAUUCCUCUCAGUUGGCAGUCGAAAUUUGCCUUAACAUCAUCAUCUGAACACUUGAUAGAACUUAAAAUUGAUGUGUUAUGGAAUAAAGAGAUGUAAGAGAACUAUUCUACAGAGACCAAAUAAUGUUGAUGUUAAAAAUAGGUUUCUGAAGGACUUCAUCAAUGAGAAAAUCCAAUAUAGGUUAGCAGUAAGAGGCUUAAUUGGAGAUAACAAUCUAUUCAAUGGAAUCAAAUCAACAGCCUUAUUUGUGAUGAAAUUAGUCCUUGGAAAACAAAAGAAGGACAGCAAUAAAAGACAACUGAAUAAACGGAUAUAACAUACAUUUUUAGCUCACCUGGUCCAUCGUCGUCGUCCGUCGUUAACUUUUACAAAAAUCAUCUCUAAAACUAACCAAGAUAGCCGCCAUGGCUAAAAAUAGAACAUAGGGGUAAAAUGUAGUUCUUGGCUUAUAACUCAUUUAGAGCAAAUCUGACAUUGUGUAAAAUUGUUUAUCAGGUCAAGAUCUAUCUGCCCUGAAAUUUUCAGAUGAAUCGGACAACCCGUUGUUAGGUUGCUGCCCCUGAAUUGGUAAUUUUAAGGAAAUUUUGCUGUUUUUGAUUAUUAUCUUGAAUAUUAUUAUAGAUGGAGAUAAACUGUAAACAGCAAUAAUGUUCAGCAAAGUAAGAUUUACAAAUAAGUCAACAUGACGAAAAUGGUCAGUUGAUCCCUUUAGGAGUUAUUGCCCUUUAUAGUCAAUUUUUAACCAUUUUUCGUAAAUCUUGGGAAUCUUUUAGAAAAAUCUUCUCCUCUGUAACUACUGGGCCAAAUUAAACCAAACUUGGCCACAAUCAUCAUUGAGGUAUCUAGUUUAAAAAAUGUGUCCAGUAACUCAGCCAACCAACCAUGAUGGCCGCCAUGGCUGAAAAAAGAACAUAGGGGUAAAAUGCAGUUCUUGGCUUAUAACUCAAAAACAAAAGCAUUUAGAGCAAAUCUGACAAGUUGCGAAAUUGUUGAUCACGUCAAAAUCUAUCUGCCCGGGAAUUUUCAGAUGAAUCGGAUAACAGGUUGUUAGGUUGCUGCCCCUGAAUUGGUAAUUUUAAAGAAAUUUUGCUGUUUUUUGUUAUUAUUUUGUCAUGAAUCCAUCUGUGUCCUUUGUUUAAUAUUCACAUAGACCAAGGUGAGCGACACAGGCCUUUUAGAACCUCUAGUUUUCUAGUUCUCAGAAUAUACAUGAGAUAUUUGCAACUGGGCAUAAUUGAAACAAUGAAUAUUUAAGUUCAUUUCUUCUCUGUUUUGACAUAUCGAAUCAAAAAGAUGAAAAAAAAAUCAAAAUAUUUGGCCAUGGGUUUAUUAAAAAUAAAACACAACAAAUAGAAUAUUAGAAAAUUAUUUUUAGUAUAGCCAUAGGUGAAACUUUUUCACAUCAAAUUUAUUUUUCUGUAAAAUUAUUUGAUUAUCUGUUGAUUAUAUGUGGGGUCACUAAAGAUUAAAAAAGAUGGUUUUUUGGGGGGAUGGGGUAAAAGUAUAAGAAUGUCAACAACAUGGCAAAAUGAAAAAAAAGUAGGGUUUUUUUUUGUCAAUCUCCUUUUUUCGGGGGUUUAAAAUGGCUCCGAAGUUGGAAAAUACAUUAAGAAGUACAAUUCUUUUAACUUGAG